rfam:Cicer arietinum chromosome Ca8, whole genome shotgun sequence.
GGACAAUGACGAUUUCGUGAUAAGGUCUCGUUCGUCGUAAUUGGUCUAUUUUUGACCUUGCCGACCAUACUGUUAUAUCACCACCCAUAUUCUGAGUCU